AUUGAACGCUGGCGGCAUGCCUUACACAUGCAAGUCGAACGGUAACAGGUCUUCGGAUGCUGACUAGUGGCGAACGGGUGAGUAAUACAGCGGAACGUGCCCGGACGUGGUGUAUAACGGGGCGAAAGCUUUGCUAAUACCGCAUACUAUCUCAUGAGGAAAACAGGUGACCGCAAGGCCUUGUGCGUUUUUGGCGGCCGAUGUCAGAUUAGGUAGUUGGUGGGAUAAAAGCUUACCAAGCCGACGAUCUGUAGCUGGUCUGAGAGGACGACCAGCCACACUGGAACUGAGACACGGCCCAGACUCCUACGGGAGGCAGCAGUGGGGAAUUUUGGACAAUGGGCGAAAGCCUGAUCCAGCCAUGCCGCGUGCAGGAUGAAGGCCUUCGGGUUGUAAACUGCUUUUGUACGGAACGAAAAGGCUCUGGCUAAUACCUGGGGCACCUGACGGUACCGUAAGAAUAAGCACCGGCUAACUACGUG
rnacentral:rRNA from 1 species